GACCUUGCGUCGACAAUCUGAUCGACGGUCAGAUUGAUGGCUGGUGGCCUGUGUGCCACCGGCCU
rnacentral:sRNA from 1 species